rnacentral:rRNA from 1 species
CUCGUAGGUGGUUAUUUAAGUCCGUUGUGAAAGCCCUGGGCUCAACCUGGGAACUGCAGUGGAUACUGGAUGACUAGAAUGUGGUAGAGGGUAGCGGAAUUCCUGGUGUAGCAGUGAAAUGCGUAGAGAUCAGGAGGAACAUCCAUGGCGAAGGCAGCUACCUGGACCAACAUUGACACUGAGGCACGAAAGCGUGGGGAGCAAACA